rnacentral:sRNA from 1 species
UUAUGCCUCGAUGAGAUAGGGGUGCAGAGCUCUAGCCAGGGUUCAGCCGAGCGCAGCGAGACAACGUUGCUCGGCGAAGCCGAAGAAGCAACGGCCCGAAGGGAAGGGCGCGGAGCGACCGCAUAAAUCCCUAUCCCUCCGCCA